rnacentral:rRNA from 1 species
UUCGCAAUGCCCGAAAGGGUGACGAUGCGACGCCGCGUGAGCGAAGAAGGCCCUAGGGUUGUAAAGCUCUGUCGAGGGUUAUGAAAUAUAGAUGGGUUAAUACCCCAUUUAUUUGACAAAAGCCCAAAAGGAAGCCACGGCUAACUCUGUGCCAGCAGCCGCGGUAAUACAGAGGUGGCGAGCGUUGUUCGGUAUUAUUGGGCGUAAAGAGCACGUAGGUGGUUUUGUAAGUCAGGUGUGAAAGCCUUCUGUUCAAAGGAAGAACGGCAUCUGAAACUGCAGAUCUUGAGUGUAGGAGGGGAGAGUGGAACUUCUGGUGGAGCGGUGAAAUGCGUAGACAUCAGAAGGAACGUCGGCGGCGAAAGCGACUCUCUGGCCUAUUACUGACACUGAGUGUGCGAAAGUUAGGGGAGCAAACGGGAUUAGAUACCCCGGUAGUCCUAACUGUAAACGAUGGGCACUAAGUAGAGGGGUUUU